rnacentral:lncRNA from 1 species
UGGCAUUUGGUCUGGAUACCUAAAAUCGGAAGAAGAGCUGAAACAACUGGAACGAUCGCUGGCUGCUGCCAACCUGAAAUUUGCUGUUCGUUCAUCACGCAGAAAGGCGGGUAAAGUUGUGUUCAGCACAGUAAACGGCGGUGUUCCAAUUCAUUUGGACCUUGUGCCCUUCCGAGUGCUUGGGGAUGUAACAAAACAGUGCAUCUUUGGAGAAGAGUACUACAAAAAGUCUGAU